AGGAAGGAGGUGACAGUCCAGUGACCGAAUAUUUAGUACUGCAGAUGCUGCUUGGUUUAAAGGUGAAAGUAAGAGUGAAGGCAUUGGAAAAGCUGUUAUUUCAGGUCGAAAACAAAUGGAGAAAAGUACUUUAAACACAGAUCUCUGCUUGAAGCUGUCCUGUUCUUGGAAAGUGACUGGGAAAGCUAGUAUGAUUAUAGUGGUAUCAGCAGAGAAGGAUUAAGAGAGAUAAUGAAGGACAGAACUCAGAGGCAGACAUUGCACAGAUGUGAAAUUGGACUAAAAUGGAGAUGGGAAAAAAAUCAAGAGAAGAGUUAUCAACUAAAAAAGGCCACUACUUGAAAAUACAGUAGAGGUUCACUCUCCUUUGUGAGAAUGGUGAUUUAGAAGAGUAAAACAUGAAGACAAACAGGCCCACAGGAACCAAUAAUACAAUUUGUGGUUAAAAGAGGCUACGGCUCAAAGGCUGAAAUCAGUCAUUGUGCAGAGGCAUGACUGUGAGCAUAAUGCCAGUGAUGAACUACAUCAAAGAGAGCAACAGAGCCUCAGAAGUGCAAAAGAACAGUUCUGCUUUGUAUUAUUUUUUUUUCUUUUUUCUUUUUUUUCUUUUUUUCUUUUUCUUUCUCUUUUCCUUUUUUUUUUUUUUUUUUU